AGCCGAAACGCGCCCACCCGGGCGCGUCCGACCGGGGUUCGCCGCCCGGCGCUGACAAGGUAGGCGAAA
rnacentral:hammerhead_ribozyme from 2 species